GCCAUCAGCCACCUAAGCCGCCCCAUGUUCGUUCUAUCCAUCACUGGCCUGCUCACCUGCUUCCUGCUGUUCGUCGGCCUCUGUAAGGACAAGGCGUGGCUGCUACUGCCUUGGAUCAUAGUGCAAGUGUCUGUGGUGGUGGGAGACGUGGUGGCCGCAGUGUACCUCGUGUGGGUGCAGGAGCUCACCUCAUAUGCCGCGAUAACCUUCACACUAGACUUUUCUGCUGGUUCUCAAUCUGUACGCUAUACUCUGUGUUACGUCGCAAUACCAAGAAUACAAAGCAGGGAGAGGAACAGCAAGGGAUGAAGAGGCGCUGUCGCCUCCAGUCAUCAGGUACACUCGGCAGUCGACGUGUCACAGCGGACUGGAGACAAACAGGCGAACAGGUGGGCAGGAGACAGGUGCCAGCGUGUCAAUUAACGGCAUUCAUACAUGUCAGCAGGACACAGGGGGCAGGUCUGGCAGCUUCCUCCUCCCCCCAUCCUCCUCCCCAACUCGUGUAGAGAUCAGGAAGGCUGUGCAGUUUACCACACACACACCAAAGGAAGGAGAACAAAGACAAGAAGAGAACAAACAACAACAACAACAACAACAAC